CAGUCUGUGGGGACUCAAACUGUGGGGGCACUUUCUGUCUCCUGGAGGAAAGUGCCGCCAUUUUUUGAGUGCUACCGGCUG
rnacentral:pre_miRNA from 1 species